AUGGCGAGGGGCGAGAACAGCGAGUCGCACGGCAGCGGCAACGUCCCGGCGGCCCCCGCACCAGGGGCAGCGUCAGCGUCCUCGGGGAAGCAGGCGCCGGCGGCUGCGCGUGGCGCGGACGGGCAGUCGGUGGUGCGGCGGCUGCAGUCGGAGCUGAUGGCGCUGAUGAUGGGCGGCGACCCCGGGGUGUCGGCGUUCCCGGAGGGGGACAACAUCUUCCAGUGGGUCGGCACCAUCGACGGAUCCGCCGCCACCGCGUACGAGGGCACCUCCUACCGCCUCGCGCUCGCCUUCCCCAGCGACUACCCCUACAAGCCGCCCAAGGUGCGGUUCGAGACCCCCUGCUUCCACCCCAACGUCGAUAACCACGGCAACAUCUGCCUCGACAUCCUCCAGGACAAGUGGUCCUCCGCCUACGACGUCCGCACCAUCCUCCUCUCCAUCCAGAGCCUGCUCGGAGAGCCGAACAACGACUCCCCCCUGAACACACAGGCGGCCGCGCUCUGGGCGAAUCAAGAAGAGUUCAGGAAGAUGGUGGAGAAGCUCUACAAGCCGGCGUAA
rnacentral:rRNA from 1 species